CUGCACUGUCAAGUGACUGGUUGGUCUCUCCUUGGCCUCCCAAGUCUCAUUCCAGUGCGAGAUGAACUCCCACCUAGCAGAAGGGCUGGGCCUCUGGUGGCUCUGUCCCUUUCGAAGGGUGGGUACAAAC
ensembl:snoRNA